UCAAUAAAUAAACAUUUGUUGGGUGAAUUA
rnacentral:piRNA from 1 species